CGCUCCCUUUAUGGCCGCCCCUCACCCGCCCCCCUCACGCCCUUUUCCCUCCCGGCCUCGGCCAUGGCCGGGCCCUCCCGGAGACCGGCAGCGGCGCCGGGAAGAGGAGGAGGAAGAGGAGGAGGAGGAGGAGUCACACAGAUUGAAGAGCUCGAGCUCCAAGAGACGCAAUAAGCGGUUGUGUUAUGAGUCUUGGCAGCGCCAAAUCUGGGGGCAGAGGCUGGUGCAAAGAGGAGAGUACAGGGCUACACCUCUUUAACUCAUCUCAGUGUUACUUUAGGAGGGCGUCUGGGAACAACAGAGAGAAAGAACCAUUCAUGCAUUCAGCAUUCCUGUUGCCACUGCAAAAAAAUCGUAAAAAAUUCACUUGAGUUUGGUUUUUGGCUCUACCAAAGUAAGCAAUUUUGUGUCUGCAUAGAAUUGGAUUUGGUGGGUAAAAAAGCAAUGGAAUAUUUCCCCAGAUUAUGUUAAUUGUGGAUCGCACCAUCUCACGAAGAAAGAGGGCAUGAGUUCAGGACCUGCGUUUUCCUGGGCUGCUGUGUGACCUUGGGUAAAGCAGUUCACUUUGCACAGCUGUAUUUUGACUGUCGUUAAAAUGGAAAUAAAGAUACUUUUA